ACCAUGCAAGUCGAACGGUAACAUGGGUGCUUGCACUUGAUGACGAGUGGCGGACGGGUGAGUAAGGUAUGGGGAUCUGCCGAAUGGAGGGGGACAACAGUUGGAAACGACUGCUAAUACCGCAUAAAGUUGAGAGACCAAAGCAUGGGACCUACGGGCCAUGCGCCAUUUGAUGAACCCAUAUGGGAUUAGCUAGUUGGUGAGGUAAUGGCUCACCAAGGCGACGAUCUCUAGCUGGUCUGAGAGGAUGACCAGCCACACUGGAACUGAGACACGGUCCAGACUCCUACGGGAGGCAGCAGUGGGGAAUAUUGCACAAUGGGGGGAACCCUGAUGCAGCCAUGCCGCGUGUAUGAAGAAGGCCUUCGGGUUGUAAAGUACUUUCGGUGAUGAGGAAGGUGAUGAAUCUAAUAGGUUUAUUAAUUGACGUUAAUCACAGAAGAAGCACCGGCUAACUCCGUGCCAGCAGCCGCGGUAAUACGGAGGGUGCGAGCGUUAAUCGGAAUGACUGGGCGUAAAGGGCAUGUAGGCGGAUAAUUAAGUUAGGUGUGAAAGCCCUGGGCUCAACCUAGGAAUUGCACUUAAAACUGGUUAACUAGAGUAUUGUAGAGGAAGGUAGAAUUCCACGUGUAGCGGUGAAAUGCGUAGAGAUGUGGAGGAAUACCGGUGGCGAAGGCGGCCUUCUGGACAGAUACUGACGCUGAGAUGCGAAAGCGUGGGGAGCAAACAGGAUUAGAUACCCUGGUAGUCCACGCUGUAAACGAUGUCGAUUUGGAGUUUGUUGCCUAGAGUGAUGGGCUCCGAAGCUAACGCGAUAAAUCGACCGCCUGGGGAGUACGGCCGCAAGGUUAAAACUCAAAUGAAUUGAC
rnacentral:rRNA from 1 species